rnacentral:rRNA from 1 species
AUUGAACGCUCGCGGCAGGCCUAACACAUGCAAGUCGAACGAGUGGCGGACGGGUGCGUAAUGUCUGGGAAACUGCCUGAUGGAGGGGGAUAACUAAUGGAAACGGUAGCUAAUACCGCAUACCAUCAGAUGUGCCCAGAUGGGAUUAGCUAGUUGGUGGGGUAACGGCUCACAAAGGCGACGAUCCCUAGCGUGUCUGAGAGGAUGACCAGCCAAACUGGAACUGAGAACCGGUCCAGACUCCUACGGGAGGAAGCAGUGGGGAAUAUUGCACAAGUGGCGCAAGCCGGAUGCAGCCAUGCCGCGUGUAUGAAGAAGGCCUUCGGGUUGUAAAGUACUUUCAGCGGGGAGGCGUUACCCGCAGAAGAAGCACAGGCUAACUCCGUGCCAGCAGCAGCGGUAAUUC